rnacentral:lncRNA from 1 species
UUCUAAAUAAUUGUACAAUCAUAUAUCACUUCACUUAGUGUGUGAGGAUUAACCAAAGAACCAAACACAAUUUCCAUGACAAAACAGAGUAUUUCACCCACAAUUGGCACAUAAUAUCCCUUAAACUACAAACCAUGCCAAAAUGCCUCGGUAUUCAAUUAACUGAAAUGCUAUUUUUAUACUAAAUUAGGGGAGCUUCACUUGGUUGAAAUCAAAUUGUGAAUGAACUUGCAGACAAGAUGAGGAAAUUGCAGCCAACAUAUGCCCAUUUUAUUGACAUACUGUCAAUAGCUGAUUUAUUUAACAAUAUCACAACAAGAUAAGAAAUUACCAUUUUCGAAAUCUCAUGAUGGUAGACCAAAGGCUGAGUUUGAAAACAAAUUCUACUACAAAUCAGAUCUCAAGAACAUAAAGAUAUCUACACUAAGCUAAAAUAAUGAGCCGAAAAUUUACACCAACACAAUAUUCACACAAAUUGAGUCAAAACAAUCACACAUAAGCUUCCUCCAUUUUUAACUAUGAAAUAUAUGACACAAAUACCACAAAACAUAGAGGGAAAAAAAUGAACACGAAAUAGCCUCUUGAUUGAUAAACAAAAUUCAGAAAUUACAUGAACAGAAUGGAACCAUUGCCUCAAUCAGAAAUCAAAAAGCAAUCCGACCCGAACGGAAUCGCGAACUAAACCUUGGAGACAAAAAAUCGACGGACGACAACCAGACCAAACUCCCC